rnacentral:rRNA from 1 species
CCAAUAGCGUAUAUUAAAGUUGUUGCAGUUAAAAAGCUCGUAGUUGAAUUUCGGGAUUGACACAUCGGUCGUGCCUUAAGGGGUAUGAACUGGUGUAGUCAGUUUCUCACCUUCUGGAGAACCGCGAUGUCCUUAAUUGGGUGCCGCGAGGAACCAGGACCUUUACUUUGAAAAAAUUAGAGUGUUUAAAGCAGGCAUUUUGCUUGAAUACAUUAGCAUG